AUUAGAACUAAUGUAGCAUUCAGUUGGGUUACAUUUAGUGUAACGUUGAGCGUAAUUAUCAGAAUUUUCAUAAAAGUAAAAAUUUUAUUGAACUCAUAUCUUAAUCUUGCUUAAUGCAAACAGGCUGUUUAAUAUUUUUAAUUAAGAUAACAAUAAUCAUAUUUUUAAUUAGGUCAUUAAUUGUUAUAUUUUAAUCAGAAGUUUAAACAGUAUUUGCUUUGUUAAUUAUGUGAUUUGUAUUUAGUAAAAGUAUGCUUUUAAGCUACUUACAUUAAGUACUUAUUACUUGACUUUAAUUCCUGCAUCAUUUAAAAAAUAUCUUCCAUUUUGUUUCAUUUGUUUAGAAUCUUUGGUUCUAAAUUUUAUUAGUUUUCCUUUAUUCUGUUAAGUAUUUGUCUUAGCAUUUCGGUUUAGACUUAAUUUACAUUGCAUUUUGUUCUUGUCAAACAUUUCAGCAAUAUUAGUUUCAUCUUACAUUUGAAUAAGAAAUAGAUUUCUAUGAACAAACCUUCUUACUCCUUAACUACUACUAGUUCAUUGAGUUUGUUGAAAGACAUGUGAACAUAGAUACACGUUUUUUAGGUGUUUUGUCUGUGUGAUAGGACUUUUUUUAAAACUAAUCAUUGGUCCAUGUAUAGAUACAAUGAAUUAUGUCUAUUUUCUAAACUGUUCUAAAUUAUGUACUUUUAACUGGUCUUUCUGUGUAUCAAAUCUAUCUUAGCUCAUGCAAGUGUAAACUAACUAGGCAGAUAAAAAGUAUGUAAACAAAGCAGAUAAAAGUAUUAAAAUUUCUUUAAAGACAGAGAAACAUUGUUGCCUCCAAGGACUAUCAGAACAUCACUCUUGAGCGCAUGUCAAAUGACCACUCACUAAUUCAGUGUCUCUGCUACAAAGAGUGUCUACUUGGACCUACAGACAUAUACUUAGACCUAACUAGAAUGUGUGCUCUCUUGUGACAAGUCUAUUUGUAUACUUGAAAACAGAAUAUGUUUACCUAUUUUCAAUUCAACAUUGGAAUACAUAGAGUAGAAAAGAGAUGUUUCUGGUCCCCAGUACCUGAUGUCAUUAUUCAAAACAUUUGCAUCAAGAUAUCUAACAUCAGUGUAGGCCUACGUAUAUGAAAGGCAUUUUAAAUUCAAACUCUACAUAUUGAAUAUCAAACUCAAUGAAUAAAUAUGAUCAUAACUAAUUGUAGAUCUUAUUAAAUGUUGACACAUUUUGUCAGAUAUCUUAAA